CCCCUCUCGGGGGUCGCACCUGGAGAGUUUCCAGUACCCUACCAGUCUUGACUACGGGAGGGAGAGUCAAGCAGAGGCCUAUCCAUUCCAUUCCGAGCUUGGGCAGUGGCUAGAGUGUGGAAGGCAAUCUGCUACAAGC
rnacentral:snoRNA from 1 species